CCCUUAGAUGUUCUGGGCCGCACGCGCGCUACACUGAUUCAUGCAACAAGUUUUGUCCUUGGCUGAUAGGCCUGGGUAAUCUUUGAACGUGAAUCGUGAUGGGGAUAGAUGAUUGCAAUUAUUCAUCUUCAACGAGGAAUUCCUAGUAAACGCAAGUCAUCAGCUUGCAUUGAUUACGUCCCUGCCCUUUGCACACACCGCCCGUCGCACCUACCGAUUGAAUGGUCCGGUGAAAUCUUCGGAUCUGAGAGAUGUCUGAUUAAUUUCGGACGCCUUUUGGAAAAGUUGCUUAAACCUUACCAUUUAGAGGAAGGUGAAGUCGUAACA
rnacentral:rRNA from 1 species